GAACACAGCAUGCAAUAGAAACACUCAGAAAUUUGAUAAACCCCUCAACAAAAAAAUGAUUCUUUUCAGGCAGCCCAAGCCAACAUUGUACAAGGGCCACAAGGUCCAGGGCCACAAGGACAAGGGACACAAGAACAAGGGACACAAGGACAAGGGACACAAAAGACGCUGUUGUAGUCUACUGGGUGUCACAGAGAAUGAGCGAUUUCAUCAUCACCAAGGCCAGCCCGACUCGAGCGAAGUUGCAGAGAUGAAAGUCGAUCACUGUCUCAAGGAGGUUUGAAGGAGGAUGCAAGCAUUGCCCACUGCAGAUUGAGAUGACGGCUGUCGAGACCCAACCACUCAAACAAGAUCUACAAUUCGUGCUAUGGUAGAUGUGACUCUCAAAGAUUUUGGAUGACGAAGGAAUCCAACGCA